CCCUUAGAUGUUCUGGGCCGCACGCGCGCUACAAUGAUGCAGGCAACGAGUGCCGCUCCUUAGCCGAAAGGCUUGGGGAAUCUUGAAAACUGCAUCGUGCUAGGGAUAGAUGAUUGCAAUCGUGCAUCUUGAACGAGGAAUGCCUUGUAAGCGUGAGUCAUCAACUCGCGCUGAAUACGUCCCUGCCCUUUGUACACACCGCCCGUCGCUCCUACCGAUUGGAUGGCCCGGUGAACUGGUCGGACUGCUGUUUGAAAUUGCGGGUGCAGUUGAUUCACGGGAAGUCUAGUAAACCUUAUCAUCUAGAGGAAGGAGAAGUCGUAACA
rnacentral:rRNA from 1 species